rnacentral:lncRNA from 1 species
GAAAAUUAUCUAAAACUUGAUUUAUUUGACAUUAAUCAUAAAUUAUUAAUUUGACAGGGUAAUAUUCUACUAUUUUCUAUAGGGAAAAAUAGAUCUACAAAGAAGUCAUUCCAAUCCCUUCAAUGAUUUUGUUAAUUAAUUUUCUAAAACUUCCCUUGGGCAUGCACUCAUUUGUUUAAGUGCAAAGAAAACAGGGGUUAUGUACAAAUCAGGUGGACCUAAUAGCCAAUUGCAUGAAAAAUUUUAUUUUGUAUAAGAUGCGCCAUGUCAUAGUUGUACGAGAGAUUUAUUAUUGGCCAAAGACAUUGAUAGACACUCAAACUUGUUGUCAAAAUUCACUUAGACCCCUAAACUGUGGCUUGUUCCUAUCAGGCAUCUCAAAUGUUAAAAUUGGUACCUAUCAGGCCCAAAAUGCUAAUUUGGCAAGAAGAGUGUUACUCCUUGGGCGUGUGAAUAGUAAAAUAAAUAAUAUUUUACUUUUUUUU